rnacentral:rRNA from 1 species
UACGGCGGGCGCAAGCGUUUUUCGGAAUCACUGGGCGUAAAGCGCGUGUAGGCGGCUUUGCAAGUCGGGUGUGAAAUCCCGAGGCUCAACCUCAGAACUGCACUCGAUACUGCUUGGCUCGAGUCCCGGAGAGGGUGGCGGAAUUCCCGGUGUAGGGGUGAAAUCCGUAGAUAUCGGGAGGAACACCAGUGGCGAAGGCGGCCACCUGGACGGUGACUGACGCUGAGACGCGAAAGCGUGGGGAGCAAACAGG